rnacentral:rRNA from 1 species
GGUCAAGUAGAAAAGGGCGCACGGUGAAUGCCUAGGCACUAACAGCCGAAGAAGGACGUGACGAACUACGAAAAGCUUCGGGGAGCGGUAAGUACGCAGUGAUCCGGAGAUAUCCGAAUGGGGGAACCCAAUGCAGAGAUGCAUUAUUGAUUAGUGAAUAGAUAGCUAAUCAAAGGAAGACGCAGUGAACUGAAACAUCUAAGUAGCUGCAGGAAGAGAAAGAAAGAUCGAUUUCCUUAGUAGCGGCGAGCGAAGAGGAAAGAGCCCAAACCAAGUGAUUUAUCAUUUGGGGUUGUAGGACUGCGACGUGGCAGUGUAAGAGAUAGUUGAAUUAUCUGGGAAGGUAAGCCAGAGAGGGUGAGAGCCCCGUAAGCGAAAUCUCAAGCACGCCUAGCAGAAUCCUGAGUAGGCCGGGACACGAGGAAUCCCGGUUGAAACCGCGAGGACCAUCU